CAGUUGACUCGAAGGACACUUUUUAACUUGACUGUUAGUGCCUCCAAGGGUGGAUGUCCAGACCCACGGGCUCUAGGGGCUUCCCAGACUCAGUCUGAGGACAUUGAGCUCCUUAGAGCUCCCCAACUUGCCCCCCUCAUCUCGAGGAUGGCCCCUUUCCUCAGCGUGAGUGGGUCCUCAAGUCCGAUCUUUAAUCUAGCUCAGCCAACCUUCCUGGCGGUGCACCCAUCUCCCAGAGGGUAAGCACAGGGGUCUUCAUACAUUUCUGUGGCCACGCCCUCCUCCGUGUUCCACUACCCGCACGUUUCUUAUCCUGGCAUUUAAGGACUGUGCUGUUUGAGGCAGUUUCCUCUCAAAAUGACUGCCCAACAGGCACUGUCCACUGACUGCUGGCCACCUCCCCAUGCCCACUGGCCUGCUUUUGCCUGUGUAGUUUCCUCUGCCAGGAUCCUGCUCCUCUGUGUGGUGUAGAGGACCUCCUUUCCAUUCCUCCUUGUGUCCCCAUCUCCAGUGCUGGAGGGCCUGUGAUUUGGGAGUCUGCUCCCUAUGGUGUGUGGGUUUAUUGGGAUCAGGAAAAGAAGCCCAGAUACCCAGAGUGGGCAUCUUAAGAACAUUCACGGUUCUUCAGUGUUUUGUUUUGAUGGUCUCAGUUUUAUGUCUCUGUUUCUAAGCGAUUCUAUUCUACGUUUUAUGGUUUCAUGAUCACCUCCUGCCCUUGGGGAUAAGAAAAGAACAUUCAAUGAGGGUUUAGGGGAACUGAGAGGUAAAAUUAGAGGCUUUAUGGGGGGAAGGAGUCCUUCUUGGUUCUGACACCAGAAAACUUGGGAAUGGGAAACAAACUAUUUGUAUUUGGGAGGACUCUGUUGGGCUGUGGAUAGGACAGGGCUGCAGAGAGGGGUCUGAUGGGCUCUGGGCAUUCCCCUAGCAAUAACUCAUGUGCUUCACUCCAGAGGCCCCUGCUGGACAUCCCACUACUGUGGGUGGGGCUACUGAUCCCCUAACUCACCCCAGGCAUCUGGUUAAAGUGCCACCAUGGGGGUGGGGGUGUCACACAUUAACUAGCAGCACCCCAGUGCCUGGCAGAGCCAGCCUGCCCUUCUGACAGGCAAGCCCCAGGGCACCAGGGUCAGUUUCUGGUCAGUUUCAGGUCAGUUUCAAUGGAAAGGACUGUUUGGGUCAGGGGUAUAGGAGUGAGUCCCUGUGGGGAUGCCCCUCUCUGGCCCCAGGCUGAGGCCAAGCAGGAGGAAUCAUGGGAGGUCACUGAAGCUCAGACCUGGAGCAGAGGCUGGACUCUGAUGAAGUGGCUCUAAGCUGACAGGCCCCUGCUGCUGCCACUAGCGAUUGCUGGUUCCUGUUCAUGCACAUUAUGAAGUAGUUGGGGGAAUUGAGGAGGCCACCAUAGCUGUGUACCCCAAGAUGAGGUUCUGAAAACAUGUCCUCCAAUCACACGGCCUUCAAACAAAGUCAAGACUGCAGUGGUCCAAGCGAGAGCUGAGCUGCUUGUGGAGAUCCCACAGCUGGCUUUGGACUGUCCACAGCCUACAUUGUCCAGGACCACAUCUGAACUGUACACGAAGGAAGGGGACCAAGACACCACUCCAGAUCCUCCUGUACCAGGCAAAGGAAGGUGGCACUGUGUAGACCUGGCUGGCUGCCCGAGCCCACCCACCACAUAUCACAGACCUAGAAACGGAGGCUCUGGAGGCCCAUGUCCCCCACCUACCCUGGUUCAAGCUGCUAAUGCAUGUGGAUGAAAGAAACGAGGCUGGGAGUCGGGGUAACCCUGCAUAUGUCCUCUGUGCUGGGCCUUGGUUUCCCCCUGAUGAAUGAGAGGAGACUGGGUAGUGUCUCUCUGGCUGUGCCUGUGGGUGGUCCCCCCAGGACAUCCAGAGUCAGUUGUCCAGAGAGCAGUGGGGCCGCCUGAGGCCUCUCCCUGUGUGUCCCCCUCUGGCUGUCUUCUCCUGUGGCAUUUCUGGCUCAUCUCUGUGGACCCUCCCCCUCCCCCUUUCUUUCUCAAUACUCUUGCCAAACAUCUGGAAGAAAAGUGAAAAACUUGCCCCCCCCCUGCCACCGGAUGCUAGAUUUCCAGAUGUGGGGUGCUCUGCCCUCCAGAUGAGGGGGGGAGUGUUCUGUGUUCCAGCUAGAAGAGGGCCCGGCCCCAACCCUUGCCUGCUGUCCCCUCACCAUGAGGCUGAGGGACAGGACAAGAGCACAGACACUGGCGAGAAAGAGAGCCCAAUAUGGUGGCAAGAUGUCAGAUUCUGUGCCUGGCAUGAGGUGCUCAUGCCACCUCAGCCUUCCCACCUCCCCCCACCUCCCCAGAUGGUGGCCCAGCCAGGCUGGGCUCUGUCACUGCCAUCUGCUAUGGGCCGGGCACUCCAGGUGGGCAUACCAAGCUGGGCACCAGAGGGUAAACUUUGCCCAGACCCCUGGGGUCCCUCAGAGAUUUGGACCCUUCCAGGACCUGCACCAGAAGGGUCGGCAGAGGGCAGCAUGGGGCAGUAGGACAGCAGGCAAGACAGCUUCCUGGGAGAGGGGUAGUGGGGCCUGGAAUGUGCCAGACAGGAGCGGUGAGGGCCGCUGGGCAGAUCUCAGCAUGGACCUACCCAGGGGGAGGCUGGGCUCCACGCAGGGCAGCACACAGAGCCAGGCAGGGGCCUCCCUCACACAGACACAGAUGCCCCUGCAUGGAAGGACACCCAGACAAUGCCCAGACCGGUGCAGACCUCUCCUCUCCACAAAGACACACAGACACAGUGUGUGCAGGGGUCUGGCGGGAAGCAGGCCCUGACGUGUGUGGGGAAAGUGGGUCACCAUGGGGCUGUUGGAAAGGGGCAGUAGGAAGUGAAAGGGUGAGAUUGGCAAACUGGCCUUGGGGGCAGGCAGGUGCUGUUGUAGGAGGCUGUGGAGGCUGUCGGCUGUUGGACUGGCUGCGUGACUGCCCUCAGGGAGUGGCACACUUUCUACUGCCACCCAGGGUGUUCCUGGAGACCCUGUGACACAGGGCUGGGGCUGCAGCUGCCUGUGAGCCGUGGCCAGACGCUCACAGACAGACACAUAUAAACACCCAGACUUAGACCCACAGAGCCAACACACAGAGCCAGGCAGGGGCCUCCCUCACACAGACACAGACAUAGCACACACACACACAGACUGCCCUGUACGGAGGGACACACAGACAAUGCCCAGACCUGCACAGACCUCUCCUCUCC